rnacentral:rRNA from 1 species
AGCCUGAUGCAGCAACGCCGCGUGAGGGAUGACGGCCUUCGGGUUGUAAACCUCUUUUAGCAGGGAAGAAGCGAAAGUGACGGUACCUGCAGAAAAAGCACCGGCUAACUACGUGCCAGCAGCCGCGGUAAUACGUAGGGUGCAAGCGUUAUCCGGAAUUAUUGGGCGUAAAGAGCUCGUAGGCGGUCUGUCGCGUCUGCUGUGAAAUCCCGAGGCUCAACCUCGGGCCUGCAGUGGGUACGGGCAGACUAGAGUGCGGUAGGGGAGAUUGGAAUUCCUGGUGUAGCGGUGGAAUGCGCAGAUAUCAGGAGGAACACCGAUGGCGAAGGCAGAUCUCUGGGCCGUAACUGACGCUGAGGAGCGAAAGGGUGGGGAGCAAACAGGCUUAGAUACCCUGGUAGUCCACCCCGUAAACCGUUGGGAACUAGUUGUGGGGUCCAUUCCACGGAUUCCGUGACGAAGCUAACGCAUUAAGUUCCCCGCCUG